CGCAGUGGAGUCGUAUUACAGCAAUCAAUGCUCGCGAGUUUUAGAUUUACCGAUUAACUGGCAGGUCGUGUCAUCCAGUGCGCGGUGUUCUGCGGCGUUUUAGUAAUCUCCUUAUUUUGGCGUAAUCCCAUUUUUUUUGGCGUUUGAGCUUCUUUUUCGAGAUCAGAAACGCAGAUGAGAUGAUGAGAUUUGUGUGCAUCUCUGAAGAAGACUUAACAGUUGUAAAACUUUUUUUUUGUAAACCCCGCUUGAAGUAUCCUACACAGAACACUACACAGAAGUUUGUUUUAGUUUUUGGUUACCUUAAAUAUACACACGGUUCAAGUGCAGAAAACCAGUGCGGUGCUAGACCUUCUGCAUCGGUCUGAAGACGCCUGACGUGGGCCCAAGGCCUAGGCCCAGGCCCGGAAACUAGGGAAGUUUCCUCCAGUAGGGUACCCCCCUGUCGUUGCUUGGCAGCGCCGAUUGUGAGGAUGAAGAGGGACGUGUCUUCCUGCGUUGGCGGAGUUGGUUGGAAUGGACGGCAGCCAUUUUGCUUUUCUGUGCAGUGUUUGGAAAGAUCUUCUCACCUCGCUCCCAGAAUUCCCUCAGUGGCCUUCCAGCCCUGUUUUCUUGUGCAGAUAAUUUGUAAUCGACCAGUUCAGUUUUUUUUUGUAAAAAUCCUGGAAUCGAGUCCAAGGGGAUCUUGGUUUAAGUGAAGUGUGCAGAUUUGCUCGGGGGUCGUAAACCCCCAGCAGCCUCGAGGAAUUGAAAAAUGCGCUCGUCGAAGAAUGCAGCUUCGUCUGGAGCGUGUCGGGGGUUGCGAUGUCAGUUUCUCCUCUUGCUUCUCUGUGUUUUGACACGUUGUCUGCUUGUUGUUUGGACUGUGCUGUGCGUCUUCUGAGCCGAUGUUUGGUAUUAAUUUUUCUCCGCUCAUUCUUAAUGUACACUCCAAUGUACUCUGUUUUCUCUACUCUUAACCUAGCACAUCGUUUCAAUGAGGCUUUUUCAACCUUCUGUGAGUGAUGUCAGCUGUGCUCCUAAACCCCUGCUACACAACAAUUCCCUGAGCUGUGCCCCUAAACCCCUGCUACACAACAACUCCCUGAGCUGUGCCCCUAAACCCCUGCUACACAACAAUCCCUGAGCUGUGCCCCUAAACCCCUGCUACACAACUCCAUGAGCUGUGCCCCUAAACCCCUGCUACACAACUCCCUGAGCUGUGCCCCUAAACCCCAUCACACAACAACUCCCUGAGCUGUGCUCCUAAACCCUGCCACACAGCAACUCCCUGAGCUGUGCCUCUAAACCCCUGCUACACAACAACUCCCUGAGCUGUGCCCCUAAACCCCUGCCACACAACUCCCUGAGCUGUGCUCUAAACCCCUGCCACACAACAACUCCCUGAGCUGUGCUCCUAAACCCGUCACACAACACCUCCCUGAGCUGUGCCCCUAAACCCCUGCUACACAACAACUCCCUGAGCUGUGCUCCUAAACCCCUGCUACACAACAACUCCCUGAGCUGUGCCCCUAAACCCCAUCACACAACAACUCCCUGAGCUGUGCCCCUAAACCCCAUCACACAACUACUCCCAAUCUACCAUCCAGUCAGUUUUCACUUAAACCCUAAUUUCACAAACCAGAUUCUACUAAUAACCACCACAGUGAGAUCUCUAUCUGUUGAAUGAGGUGUGCUUUGUUAGGGUUGGAGUGAAAACCUACAGGAUGGUAGAUCUCCUGGAACAGGGUUGACUGGGACCCUAAUCAAUGGAGAAAAAGACUUUGCUAACGCAUCCAAGGAACUCAUUCGUCCCGGUUGACAUCGAGACUAUUGUUUUAUUGUGUUUUGACUUUUACCGUGCUUAUUCCUUCUCUUUGUUUUAUUCUCAGUGUUUUAUUAUUGCCAUUUUGUACAUUGCUUGUUUUAUUUGCUGUUCGUUCUUCCCUUUUAAGCUGCUUUUAUUGUAGCCCUUGUGUUAUAAUUUUAUACCUUAUUUUUAUCUGUUUUGAAAAGCACUUUGUGCUCUGUGCUUGAAAGUGCUAUAUCGAUAAAAUAUAUAUAAUAACAAUCAGACAACAGAAGUAGAUAAGAGGACAGGGAAAGUAUGAAUUUGAACAGCGAGUAUUUUUGUAGUUCUCAUGACACUAUUGCUACGUUUGGGUCGUAUGCAGUGUGUAUCAGCGUAGUCCAGAUCAGAGGUGUCUGAUUAUAUCCUGAAAGGGCCGGUGUGGACACCGUUUGUAGCCCAGCACUGACACAACUGAUGCGCCUUAUCACGGUUCUGAUUGAAGUAAUUGAUUCAGGUGCCUUGGUGCUGGGCUAAAACAAAAACCUGUACCCAUGACGGCAAUUUUCAGAUAAGACUGGACAUCUGUGGUGUGUUUUAACAAUUAAACCAGAAUAUCAAUUUGAUAUUGACCCAACAUUCUCAUUCUGCAGCGAUCCAAUUGAGUUGAGGCAAGUUCUGCGCGUUUAAAAAU